UCCCAUUUGACUCUCUCAUCAUUCCUCUUCUCUCUCUCUUUCUCUCUCCCUCUCUCUCUCUCUCUCUUUCUCUCACUCUAUCGCAGGCGACCCUCUUACCAGCCACUGUCCACCACUGUCGCACACGAGCACCCAUCUCCUCACCGGCGACGGUACCACCCAUCUCCCCACCAGCGAUAGACAACAGUAACUACUUUGAUUUGUGUCUCCUCCAGCUCACGCCAGGUGGCCAAAGAAAUGGAGCAAAUGGAGAUGUAGCCAAUGAUCGCUACUUGGAGGUAGAUUUGGAGAAGUCAAUCCAACUGGUAUCAUGUUGUAUAACAAAAUCAUUGACAAUCUUUUGCUCAAAGGAAUUGAGCCAUUUGUGAUGAUAAAUCAUAAUGACUUCCCUCAAGAACUCGAGGACAAAUAUGGGUCUUGGCUCUGUCCUCUUAUGAGCUGAAUUUUGUGUGAAUUUGGGAGGGAGGUUGGUGAAUCAGAGCACCAAGAAAAGGGCCAGUGAACCCAAAUGUGUUGUUACUGGAAAGAGAAUCCAAGGGAACUGCUGAUCUCUCCACUUAUGUAUCUGAACCUCGCAAGAAAAACUUGUUUUUGCAAAGUUUAUACAAAGAGGAGCAGGAAAAAUCACAUAUGACAAAUGGUAACAACAGCAGGAAGCAUGCUUUUCAUAGUGACAUUCCAGAUAAGGAUAUAGUUGAAGCUCUAGAAAAUGAGGUUCAAUAUUGGGCAGACUUUUCAAAAGUUCACUAUCAUCCUCUUUGUAUAAACUUAGUUUGUAUGGAAUAUAAACUUUGUAUAAACUUUUAAUGUCAAAAGUUCACUCUACUUAGUUUGUAUGGAAUUUGACAUUAAAAGUAAUUCCUUUUUGGAUGGUUAGAAGUGAAAUGGAUGCAAAUUGUGAA